CUACGGGUCGCUGCAGUGGGGAAUAUUGGACAAUGGGGGAACCCCUGCUCCAGCCCUGCCGCGUGUGUGAAGAAGGCCUGCGGGUUGUAAAGCACUUUCGGUUGGGAGGACUGCUUCUAGCACUAAUAUUGUUGGAAGUUGACGUUACCUUCAGAAGAAGCACCGGCUAACUCCGUGCCAGCAGCCGCGGUAAUACGGAGGAUGCAAGCGUUAAUCGGAAUUACUGGGCGUAAAGCGCGCGUAGGCGGCUAGAUCAGUCGGGUGUGAAAGCCCCGGGCUUGACCUGGGAACUGCAUCCGAUACUGUCUAGCUUGAGUACAGGAGAGGAGAGUGGAAUUCCACAUGUAGCGGUGAAAUGCGUAGAUAUGUGGAGGAACACCAAUGGCGAAGGCAGCUCUCUGGCCUGAUACUGACGCUGAGGUGCGAAAGCGUGGGGAGCAAACAGGAUUAGAUACCCCAGUAGUC
rnacentral:rRNA from 1 species